rnacentral:rRNA from 1 species
CGAGUGAAGCGGCAAAAGCUCAAAUUUGAAAUCUAGCACCUUCGGUGUUCGAGUUGUAAUUUGAAGAUGGUAACCUUGGGUUUGGCUCUUGUCUAUGUUCCUUGGAACAGGACGUCAUAGAGGGUGAGAAUCCCGUCUGAUGAGAUGCCCAUUCCUAUGUAAGGUGCUAUCGAAGAGUCGAGUUGUUUGGGAAUGCAGCUCUAAGUGGGUGGUAAAUUCCAUCUAAAGCUAAAUAUUGGCGAGAGACCGAUAGCGAACAAGUACAGUGAUGGAAAGAUGAAAAGAACUUUGAAAAGAGAGUGAAAAAGUACGUGAAAUUGUUGAAAGGGAAGGGCAUUAGAUCAGACUUGGUGUUUUACGAUUAUCUUCUCUUCUUGAGUUGUGCACUCGUAUUUCACUGGGCCAGCAUCGAUUCGGAUGGCAAGAUAAUGGCAGUUGAAUGUGGCUUCACUUCGGUGGAGUGUUAUAGCUUCUGCUGAUAUUGCCUGUCUGGAUCGAGGGCUGCGUCUUUUGACUAGG